AUACAACUGUAACAUAUCAAAAUCUAAGUUAGUCCUUCCUUUAUUUAAUGCAAUUUAUUUCUGUUUGAUAGCUUUACUUGUUUAAAAGUUAUUACAAAUCAAACAGGAGUACUUUUUUUUGGGACACCCGGUAUGUACAAAAUAUCACGUCACAUUAACUACUGCUAUAUUUGAGAGCGUUCUUUAAGAAUAGUCUUAAUCAGCGAGCAAUAAAGUUUAAGAUUGUCACAGUGUUCUACUCUGUGUAAUCUUGCAAAUUCUCAGGAUUUUUGACUUUAUUUAUAAUAAUCUUUAAAAUCUAAAAGUCACUUUUUAGUUAUCGUUUUCAGGAAUACAAUUCGCUUUGAGUUUACACACGAGAUAUUGUCGCCAGAACAGUCGAUCUGGAAUGGAAAUAUGAUUGAACGAUCCAGAAGAAUUUCAUUAAUGCUGCGUUGUCAACCAGAAACCAAUUCCGACGUCACAUAAGUUAUGGCGUCCUGUUCAGUAAGUAUAAUCUGUUUCUGAUAUAACGUUUCUAAGUAUAAUCUGUUUCAGAUAUAUUUUAUCUGGCCCUGCAUAUCCGCCAUUCCUACCGUGUUACUGUACAUUGAUACGUAACAUGACUGUCAUCAUACGUAACAUACCUUCCCCCCCAAUAGCUUCAUCAUCGGGGAUACAGUACUUCUUUUCGUAAUUUUUUUCAAUCAACUCUUAUUUAAUGGUUUGUAUUUGUGGUUAGAUUGACAUUAUAUUUAUAGACCGUG